UACGUAGGGUGCAAGCGUUGUCCGGAAUUAUUGGGCGUAAAGAGCUCGUAGGCGGUCUGUCACGUCGGCUGUGAAAACCCGGGGCUCAACCCCGGGCCUGCAGUCGAUACGGGCAGACUAGAGUGCGGUAGGGGAGACUGGAAUUCCUGGUGUAGCGGUGAAAUGCGCAGAUAUCAGGAGGAACACCGGUGGCGAAGGCGGGUCGCUGGGACGAUACUGACGCUGAGGCGCGAAAGCGUGGGGAGCAAACAGG
rnacentral:rRNA from 1 species